UGUCCACUACCUACAUGUUAGGUAGAUUGACAGUAUAACCUGACCACUACCUGACAUGUUAGGUAGAUCGUCAGUACACCUGACCACUACCUGACAUGGUAGGUAGGAGAUCAGCAGUAUAACCUGUCCACUACCUGACAUGUUAGGUAGAUCAGCAGUAUAACCUGUCCACUACCUGACAUGUUAGGUAGGAGAUCGGCAGUAUAACCUGUCCACUACCUGACAUGUUAGGUAGAUCGGCAGUAUAACCUGACCAUUACCUGACAUGUUUGGUAGGAGAUCGGCAGUAUAACCUGUCCACUACCCGACAUGUUAGGUAGAUCGGCAGUAUAACCUGUCCACUACCCGACAUGUUAGGUAGAUCGGCAGUAUAACCAAUCCACUACCCGACAUGUUAGGUAGAUCGGCAGUAUAACCUGUCCACUACCUGACAUGUUAGGUAGGAGAUCGGCAGUAUAACCUGUCCACUACCCGACAUGUUAGGUAGAUCGGCAGUAUAACCUGACCACUACCUGACAUGUUAGGUAGGAGAUCGGCAGUAUAACCUGUCCACUACCUGACAUGUUAGGUAGGAGAUCGGCAGUAUAACCUGUCCACUACCUGACAUGUUAGGUAGAUCGUCAGUAUAACCUGUCCACUACCUGACAUGUUAGGUAGGAGAUCGGCAGUAUAACCUGACCACUACCUGACAUGUUAGGUAGAUCGGCAGUAUAACCUGUCCACUACCUGACAUGUUAGGUAGAUCGGCAGUUUAACCUAUAAAGUUCCACUGUCCACUCCCUGACAGUAUUAUAGAUUCUAAAUGUAAGAGCUAUGUAUAUUAUAUGUAUAUGUCAAUGUUAUUGUCUAUAUAUAGAUAAAUUGUUGAAAGUAC